AUUGAACGCUGGCGGCAGGCCUAACACAUGCAAGUCGAACGAGUGGCGGACGGGUGAGUAAUGUCUGGGAAACUGCCCGAUGGAGGGGGAUAACUACUGGAAACGGUAGCUAAUACCGCAUACCAUCGGAUGUGCCCAAUUGGGAGUAGCUAGUAGGUGGGGGAACGGCUCACCUAGGCGACGAUCCCUAGCUGGUCUGAGAGGAUGACCAUCCACCCUGGAACUGAGACGCGGUCCAGACUCCUACGUGAGGCAGCAGUGGGGAAUAUUGCACAUUGGGCGCAAGCCUGAUGCAGCCAUGCCGCGUGUAUGAAGAAGGCCUUCGGGUUGUAAAGUACUUUCAGCGAGGAGGCGUUACUCGAAGAGGAAGCACCGGCUAACUCCGUGCCAGCAGCCGCGGUAAUAG
rnacentral:rRNA from 1 species